GACGAACGCUGGCGGCGUGCUUAACACAUGCAAGUCGAACGGAAAGGCCCUGCUUUUGUGGGGUGCUCGAGUGGCGAACGGGUGAGUAACACGUGAGUAACCUGCCCUUGACUUUGGGAUAACUUCAGGAAACUGGGGCUAAUACCGGAUAGGAGCUCCUGCUGCAUGGUGGGGGUUGGAAAGUUUCGGCGGUUGGGGAUGGACUCGCGGCUUAUCAGCUUGUUGGUGGGGUAGUGGCUUACCAAGGCUUUGACGGGUAGCCGGCCUGAGAGGGUGACCGGCCACAUGGGGACUGAGAUACGGCCCAGACUCCUACGGGAGGCAGAAGUGGGGAAUAUUGCACAAUGGGCGGAAGCCUGAUGCAGCAACGCCGCGUGCGGGAUGACGGCCUUCGGGUAGUAAACCGCUGUCGCCUGUGACGAAGCGUGAGUGACGGUAAUGGGUAAAGAAGCACCGGCUAACUACGUG
rnacentral:rRNA from 1 species